UGGGGAAUUUUGGACAAUGGGCGAAAGCCUGAUCCAGCAAUGCCGCGUGUGUGAAGAAGGCCUUCGGGUUGUAAAGCACUUUUGUCCGGAAAGAAAUCCUUGGCUCUAAUACAGUCGGGGGACGACGGUACCGGAAGAAUAAGCACCGGCUAACUACGUGCCAGCAGCCGCGGUAAUACGUAGGGUGCAAGCGUUAAUCGGAAUUACUGGGCGUAAAGCGUGCGCAGGCGGUUUGCUAAGACCGAUGUGAAAUCCCCGGGCUCAACCUGGGAACUGCAUUGGUGACUGGCAGGCUAGAGUAUGGUAGAGGGGGGUAGAAUUCCACGUGUAGCAGUGAAAUGCGUAGAGAUGUGGAGGAAUACCGAUGGCGAAGGCAGCCCCCUGGGCCAAUACUGACGCUCAUGCACGAAAGCGUGGGGAGCAAACAGGAUUAGAUACCCUGGUAGUCCACGCCCUAAACGAUGUCAACUAGUUGUUGGGGAUUCAUUUCCUUAGUAACGUAGCUAACGCGUGAAGUUGACCGCCUGGGGAGUACGGUCGCAAGAUU
rnacentral:rRNA from 1 species